rnacentral:lncRNA from 1 species
UGAAAGCAGAACUAUGGCUUCCCCCGCCCUCUCGCCCUCCAGGCAGGCCCAACCCCCCUCACCAUUCGUUUUUUUCACUUACUUAUCACCGCUGAUGUGCUAUAUAUUUACUUAUUUGCCACAUCUGUCUCCUCCCACAUGCAAGUAUUGCUCCAUGAGGUCAGGAACUCUGCUUUCUUUACUGCUGCAUCCCCGGGAACCCUAACAGCACCUGGAAUUAAUGAGCAUGCAAUGUGUACUUGCCGAGCAGAUGUGAAUGAAUUACUUUGAAACUGACGCCAAAGGGCACCAUCAACACAGAGGCAAUCUUUAGAGCAUCGUUGGACUGUGCCUAAACUGCAAAUUCUUGGAAUCACCCUGCUGGUGCUGGCCUUGUCACAAAGCACAGCCUGGGAAAGGAGCAUUCCAGAAGAGUAUGUCAGUGAACCCACCAGGGGGCACUAUGUGACCAGAAAAUAACCCCAAAACACCAGCGGUUGCAUUAAAUUCCA